rnacentral:lncRNA from 1 species
CUUUGUUUUCUCUAUUUACCAGUAAAUACAUUCUAGCUUAUAAACUCCCUUGUUAGCAGUUUUGUAGAUUCAGCCUUCUUUGGGGUUCUGUAUGUAAGCAUAAGACAGCCACCCCACAGCUCUGGAUGACUCAGUUCCUGUCACUCCACUUUUCUACUCAGCUUCCAGAGAGAAGACAGUGCACAGUUUACCCUAACUCUUCUAGUCUCCUUUGCAGAGAGUACUUCUCCAGUCUGUUCCUAAAAGCCUCCAGAGAUGAUGGGCCCAGCCCAGCUCAGCUCUGUACAACAGAUUCUUCUCCCCAGAGCAGCUCAGUAUUCCAGAUGCUGGCUGCUGGUGAAUCCUGUGCCAGGACAGAUUAUCUACAAUACCCAUUGGUGGGAAGGUUUUUGGGUUUUGAAGGAUUUCUGC